rnacentral:rRNA from 1 species
CCUACGUGAGGCAGCAGUGGGGAAUAUUGGGCAAUGGGCGCAAGCCUGACCCAGCAACGCCGCGUGAAGGAAGAAGGCUUUCGGGUUGUAAACUUCUUUUUUCAGGGACGAAACAUGUGACUGUACCUGACGAAUAAGUCACGGCUAACUACGUACCAGCAGCCGCGGUAAUACGUAGGUGGCAAGCGUUAUCCGGAUUUACUGGGUGUAAAGGGCGUGUAGGCGGGACUGCAAGUCAGAUGUGAAAACCACGGGCGCAACCUGUGGCCUGCAUUUGAAACUGUAGUUCUUGAGUACUGGAGAGGCAGACGGAAUUCCUGGUGUAGCGGUGAAAUGCGUAGAUAUUAGGAGGAACACCAGUGGCGAAGGCGGUCUGCUGGACAGCAACUGACGCUGAGGCGCGAAAGCGUGGGGAGCAAACAGGAUUAGAUACCCCAGUAGUC